AUGCUCGGGUGUGAUGAAAUAAACCUCUUAACCCACCUGAUAUUUCAUGCAUUUCGUCGUAAAAGUAAAACCACAAGUUGGUGUCUGCAGUCACAGAGUAUAAUGGAAACAGGGGUAAAGAUCUUGUCACUCCUCCCCUACAUACCUACAAUUCACCUCCCAUUUGCUAACUUCAGAACAGAAAAGACCGAACCAGAGAACAGUAAUACAUACAUUGCUGCAGAGACCAAGGCAGAAAGAAAAUUACAAUCAAAAUCCAAUAAUCAGACAAAUGGAUCCCAGCCAGUCUUUCAGUCACACCCGGCCAUAUCCAGGACAGUGCGUGGUUGGUGUGCAGCCUGCAGUUUUUGUGACCCCCAAUCCACCGGCCAGUCUAGUGCCAGAUCACUUGGGCUACUCCAUCUUUACCAUGCUGUGCUGCUGUUUACCUCUGGGCAUUGCUGCACUGGUUUACUCCUGCUCUACUCGAGAUGCCAUCUACUCAGGACAGCAAGAAUUAGCAAAGAAGAACUCCAGAACAGCGCUCAUGCUGAAUCACAUCGGCCUUGGGAUUGGCAUGGUUAUUAUUGUAUUGGUUAUUAUCAACCAUAUGGCGAAAUAAAGAGAAAAGCUGUUAGAGCUGACAUGGCUGGAUGCAGAUUACAAACAGAUUGGUUUGUCUUUAUUUUAAAUGUUACUUGCUCAAUUUAUCAUUAUUCUCCUGCUUUAAGGCUGAUUAUUCUGUUUAAACCAAUGAAAGCUACCCUGCAAUUUUUUUUUUUUUUUUUUUUUUUUGUUCUCUUUACUUCUAAAAUGUUUUGUUUAGACUUUUUGCUUAUGUUAAAUAUCUUGUGUGCAGCUGUGCUCGUUUUUUCAGUGAUCAACCAAUUUAAACAGAAAUUAAAGUGUUAGUCAAAUACUCAAAUCAGAAAGCACAUACACAUUUUUUUUCUAAAUCAAUUAUAAAGGUCUUUCUCAAUUAAUUAAAUGUACUUAAAGUGCAUGUUUUACUCAGAAACAUCUAAGUAAAUAUAACAAUAAAUAUCAUAUAAACACCACAUUUAUAGAAUUAUUAAUGUGACACUCAUCCAAAAAGACUGCAGUACUUAGUAAACAACACACAAUGUUGGUAACAAUCUGUGGUUCAUUUUUUGAGAAUGUGUCAUUUUGAGUUCAACAUGAACUCUGCAAGUUACUAAACCUGACAACAAAAGCAAUGACAAAACAGUGUAAAUCAGCAGAAAACAGCAAAAACUUUAUUAAUUAUUCAUGCCCCAGUGCAUUGUGGGAACACCAGUAUCAGAAAAGUUGAGUAGGUUUUACUUAAUCAAUAAAAAAGUAGUAUUUACUUCACCACAGAAUCAUUUUUAUCAGUGUAGCAUGGACUGCUGACAAAAAGAAAACAAAACAAAACAAAAAAACUUUCUAAACAAUUAGAUGUAGAUGUAAUUUUGAAAAAGUGACCUAUUUUGAGAGAUGUUUCCCAGCGAUUGCAAAUAAUAACCCCCAAAAGACACACUUAGGAAUCAUGAAAUCAUCCCCAUCUGUGUCCUGAUAUUUCAUCAUGUUACAUGUUGGUUCCACCAGGUGGCGCCUAUUAGUCACCUUAAUUGUAAGGUGAUGCAAAUACAACAGAUUAAUCUUCACCUGAGUACACACCAGAGAUAGACACUGUUCAGUGGUGCAAGAAAACCACAUCGUGACCAAGAGAAACAUGGAUUCCAAAAAGUUCAGCAACAGGGCCGCCUUUGCUUCCACUGCAGCAGAACCCCCCUGAGUACUCCAAUGUUGGAUUCCCCUCCCUCUCACAGCUAUUCCAGCACUUCCCAGCAAUACAGAGCUCCGCUGGCAUCUGGCCUGUACACUCAAGCGUCAUAUCCGGGGCAGAUUGUGGUCACUGUUUAUCCUUUGGUCAUAGGCGGAGUUUCACUUUUAUGCGUGGGGGAGCACCCACUGGCAGACGAGCCACGAGCACUUUUUUUUAUAUGUUCAACAUUUCACAUAUUCUACAUUUAGAAUGAACAAUAACUGCUAAUUAAAAACCUUAAAUGAAUUUAGCCUAAAACGUAGGCUACUUAUUCUAUCUACUAAAAUAACAAGAUAAUACAAAUAAAAUUAGAAAAUAUAAAUUAUAUAAUUUUUAUUUUUUAUUCAUAGCUCAGACAAAAUCAUGAUUGGCUCUGCCCAUCCUUUUGCUAGGAUAUGGUUAAUUCUCAUAUUUUAAAUUAGUGAUGUCCGGUUCGCCAACGAAUCGUUCGAUUUAACCGGUUCUUGUUAGUGAAUCGGUUGAACCAGUUCACCAAAUCAGACUGAAUCGUUUGAAGCGGAUCGCGUCUCCAGUAAGCAUUAAUCCACAAGUUGCUUAAGUUUUUCACUUUUUUAACGUGGCUGACACUCCCUCUGAGUCGAAAUAAACCAAUAUCCCGGAGUAAUUAAUUUACGGUCCGUGUACGUUUUGAUCAUUUAAUUUCCUAUUUAGAAUGCAAUAUAAGAAAUGGGAAAAAUGGCUCGUUUAUUCGUUUUUCCGUUUAGUUUAACAAACGGAAAAUGAGAUUUUGGCUGGAUUUCUCAUUUUUCGUUUGACGUUUAUUUCAUUCGCACUUGUGGGCGGCGCUGAAACGCUCCUUUCAUCUGAUUGGUCGAAUCGCUCCGCACGGCCUUUUCAUUCUUUCAGGCAGAAUAAUAGUCAGUACUAUAAUGUCUGAAACCACCACUCACUGUUAAUUAGCAUAAUAAUUGAUUCAGAUGUUGUUGGGCACAUAAUUCGCGCUGCUGCGACUUGCAAGUGACCCCUUUAAAUUAUUUCUAGGUUAUAGUAUUGUAUGAAUAUUUUCCCAUUGAUAAAUACAAUGCAAAUAGUUCUGUCUCCUUGGAUAAAAGUUAAGUGGAAAUAAAAAUAAAUAAUGGACUGAGCAGUUCCAUGAUAAUAUGUCUGUAACAUUUACCACUCUCGUCUUUUAAGUCAAAAGGCACUAGGUAUGUGUGUGUGACAUUAAUAAAUAAUUGUGAAAAUUAAUAAAGUUAAAUUUAUUAAAUAAAUUAGAAAUAACGUUUACAUUUAUGAAUGUAAGCAUGUGUAGCCAACUCAGUUCACAUGAAAAGAAUGAGAUAGAAAAGAGACACGGUAAAAUCAGUGAACAAUAUUAACAGGGUUUAGGGCAAAUAAAAUCCCUAUUUUUCAUGCCUUAUAAUUUUAUUAGUUUUAUUACAUACUAAAUUGGUUGAUGUUUCUCUUCUUAGUCUUCUUUGUUGGGCUUGAGAAAGCCAACAUAUAUUUAAACAUUAUUAUUAUUUAUUAUGAGAGUAAUUGACACCGACUAGAACUUUAAUGUUUCACCAAAUUCAGCUCAGACCUUCAGACUCGUCUGACUCACGUUGCCGUAGAACUAGUCAGACUUACCUUCCCAAAAAAUCCUAGUGACUUUCGUUAUCUGAACAAUGAAGGCCUUAAUACUUAAUGUCCACUAGAGGGGGCGACAGGUUUAAAAAUAACCCAGUCUACUCUUUUUCUGUUUACAUCAGUUUAAAUGCCAAAUAAAUACAUGAAUUUCAUGUGUACUGCCAUGAAUAUGCCAUAUCUGUGUACAAGAAUAAACUUCACACUUCAAGCUGUACAACUACUUAAAACUUCUCAUUCUGGCUUUUUAAACCUACCUCCAAAUUUAUUUUAAGGUAUAGUUUAUUCACACUGGUUUAUGCAUUUAAUGUUUGUCCAUCUGGAACUUUUAUUUUUCAUGAGCUGUAUAUUUUAAGAUGUACUAGGUGUUGAUAAAUCACCUGCAAUGAAUGUAAAAGAGCUAAUGUCAGGGCUCUCAGUCCUGCUCCUGAGGGCCAGUGUCCUGCUGUCACGAAACGCACACAAAGAGGUAGAUCCAAAUGCAGUGUUUAAUGGGUAAUCCAGAAUUCAUAAAUCUAGCCAGGCAACGGUCAAAAUCCAGGUAAUCAGUCCAAAACAAGAACCACGAACAAAGCAAGGAAACACGAAACAGCAGGGUGACUUCAAACAAGGACUCCGUAACAAUGACAGAACAACCAGGGUAUUUAAAGACAGGUGCAAACAAUGUAAGUGGGGACAGCUGAAUACAAUGAACAGUGAUGAAUACAGACAAGACUUGUGGGAAAUGUAGUUCCUAAGUAGGGGUGACGAAAUGGGGAAGUGAGACCUCUAGCGGACACCCAUGGAUACACAAACCAGACACUGUGACACCUGCAAAGUUUAGCUUUCCAAAUAAACACACCUAAGCUAAGCAAGGUCUUCAGGAUCAGUAGCAAUGUCCAAGCAAGUGUGUUGGAACUGAACUCUGCAGAACAUGGUUUUCCAGGUUCAGGACUGGGUUUUAAAUCUAUAAAUGAUUCUGUACAGUUGGGUGUCUGCAUGCAGCCACGUUAAAAAAAGUUAAUCAUUUAAGUAACUUGUGGAUUAAUGCUUACUGGAGACGCGAACCGUUUCAAACAAUUCAGUCCGAAUUGGUGAACUGGUUAAACCGGUUCCCAAACAGAACUGGUUAAAUCGAACGAUUAACCAUAUCCAAGCAAAAGAAUGAAGCCUGACAGAUGUUGGCAUGUUACAUGGUCUCUACAUACCUCAUGCAAACACAUAUCUGAAACAUCAGACCUCUAAUCUUAAACCACAAUUUGCAGUCAGCACAAGAUAUAAAAGGCAUUGGUAAAAAAAAAUUGUCAAAAGAGAUGAAAGAAAAAUAGUGGUCAUCUAUGCAAUUCGGAAAAAGAGGCAGCUUUUCUGCAUUGGUUUUAUUAUUUUUUUCUUUUUGUUAAUUAAAUUUUAUUUAUUUUUUCAGCAGUUAUUGUUCAUUCUAAAUGUACUUUUAAUGUAGAAUAUGUGAAAUUUUGAACAUAUAAAAAAGUGCUCGUGGCUCGACUUCCAGUGGGUGCUCCCCCACGCAUAAAAGUGAAACUCUGCCUAUGACCAAAGGAUAAACUGUGACCACAAUCUGCCCCGGAUAUGAUG
ensembl:lncRNA